rnacentral:tRNA from 1 species
GGGCCUGUAGCUCAAUUGGUUAGAGCCGGCGGCUCAUAACCGCUUGGUUGGGGGGGGUUCGAGUCCCUCCGGGCCCA